UCCCCGCGCUCUUCUAUGAAUGCCGGCGUCCCGAUCAUCUUUGACUGCGCAGGCGCCGGUCUCCAAUAUGGCGCCGUGUGGCUUUUGCAGGGCUGCGCAGCCUCUGAGGAUUCCCGGGAAUUUUAAAAAUGUUGUUUGUUUGUUUGUUUAUUGUGUGCAGAUGCCGUCGCGGUCACGUUUAAUUACGCAAUCGCGAGAUGAAUCGUUUUUGCCCAGUUCUAGGAAGACGGAUGCAGGUUGGCGUUUUGUUGUGCUUUCAUUUUCUUUUGUCAAAUGCGCUCGUGUGGAUCUCCGCCUCCCUGCCGACAUGAACUGAAGAACUGACUGGUUGAUAUGGAAGACCAGACUUGUAAUUCUGCACGGAGGUCUUCUGGCAUUCAGGAGAAUGAUGAGGAGAUUAUGCUGUAUACUGACAGAGGGGAGGCAAGAGUAGAUCUUGCCUCUUCUAUGCUGCAAAGCCAUGAGGGGAGACCUGUCUGGGUUAAAGAGGAACACUGUGAAAGGCACUGUGUACUUGUUGAAGAUGAGAAUUGUCACCCUGGCUCUUUCCAGUUUAAAGCUGGCAUUUCCACCUCCACAUCGGCACCAAAAGUUGAGUUGUGUGAUUUGAGUUCUGUCUGUAUUAAAGAAGAAGUUUCUGAACAUGGGUAUGACUUUGUUUUAAAACAAGGCUUGGAUCCUUUGACUGUUUUAGGUCAAGUCACUUUACUGAGGUCCUCUGUAAACAGGCAGAAUUUCUCCUGUCCUCAGCAACCUGAGUUACUGCAGCAUGAGAAAGGAAUUAUAGUGGAGACCAUUAUCGGUAGGCCUCAGGAGGAAGAGGCAGCACCCCAUACUACCAAUCCAUCUGGAAAAAUGAAAACAUCCAGUGGAGCUGCUGUUAAGAAUAUCCAGAGGAACUGCAUCUCAAAAACCACCUGUCAAAAUUCAGAAAACCUGAAAGUAUUUAAUGAAAAAAGACCAGGAAAGCUCUACAAAGAUGCUCAUUCUAGUAACUUGGGAGAUGGCAAGUCCGUGGUGGAGAAAAAUGUAACUGGGCAGACAUCAUCUACGAAGGGUCCUCGGAAAGUCCAAGCCAAAAAGAGGCCUUUCAGUUGUACUGGUUGUGAGAAAACAUUUACAAGGAAGUUUCAUCUGAACUGUCAUAUAAGAAUUCACACGGGAGAGAAACCAUUCUGCUGCACUGAAUGUGGAAAGAUGUUUAUUAAGAAAGAUUAUCUGCAGAGGCACCUAAGAGUUCACACUGGAGAGAAGCCAUAUUGCUGCGAUAGAUGUGGGAAGUAUUUUUCAAUGAGAAAUAAUCUUCAGCGACAUUAUAGAAUUCACACUGGAGAGAAACCUUAUGGCUGCACAGAGUGUGGAAAGCGUUUCACAAAGAAAAAUAAUCUUCAGCGUCAUCAGAUAGUUCACACAGGAGAGCAGCCUUAUGGCUGCAAUGUGUGUGAAAAGAGAUUUACAAAGAGGAUUCAGCUUAAAGUCCACUUGAAGGUUCAUAUGGGUAAAAGGAUGUUUGAGUGUAAUGAAUGUGGUAAAAAAUUCACAAAGAAACAUGGACUUCAGCUGCACACCAGAAUUCACACUGGAGAAAAGCCUUACUGCUGUUCUGACUGUGGAAUUAGAUUCAUACAGAAAAAUACUCUUCAGCAGCACCAGAGGAUCCACACAGGAGAGAAGCCAUAUUUUUGCAUUAUAUGCGGUAAAAGGUUUUCUCGGGAAAUCCAUCUUAAACAGCACCAGAGGAUUCACACAGGUGAAAAGCCAUUUUGCUGUACUGACUGUGGCAAAAAGUUUACACAGGAAGGAACACUGAAACACCACCAGAGGAUUCAUACAGGUGAAAAACCGUAUUGUUGUACUGAAUGUGGGAAAAGGUUCACAGGAAAAAAUAAUCUUGUUUACCACCGGCGGAUUCAUUCUGGAGAGAAGCCAUUCUCCUGUAGUGAAUGUGGAAAGAGAUUCGCAGCAAGGAAAACUCUUCAGCAGCACUUGAAAAUUCAUACGGGGGAGAAGCAGCAUUGCUGCAACGAUUGUGGAAAACGUUUUACCCAGAAAAUUGCCCUUCAACAACACCAAAGGAUUCAUACUGGAGAGAAACCAUAUUGGUGCAGUGAAUGUGGGAAACUCUUCACUAGGAGUAACAAUCUGAAACGGCACAUGAUGAUCAUGCACACUACAGAGAACCCAACACAAUUUUGAGAAAAGUAUAGGCAAAAGAUCCAGAUGUGCACAUUUGAAUUCUCUAAACACUUUUUGUACACUUUUUUUUUUUUUCUUGCAUUUCUGAGAAGGUUAUAUGAAUUAUACCAUUGGUCUGAAGAUUUGAAACCAUACAUAACAAACUGAAAAGAUAAAACUGAAGCUGGGUUUCCUGUUACCCUUCAAGGAUUCACUGGAUGAAAAUUUUGGAUCUGAUAAUUACAGCUUUAUAAAAGUUAAAUUGAAAGUGUGGCAGUGUUUGUUUUAUAUUUUACACUGAUGGCAAGUAUUGGGAUUUUAUUUUUUGUUGUUUUAGGUUAUGAAUUUUAUAUCCAUUCCAUUACUUGUGUAACAUAAUGCAGUGCUUCUAAAGUUCCUCAGAUACCGCAAUGAAGAAUUGUUCUGUCCUUGUUAUCCAUUUUCUUCAUAUAAAUCUCCACAUAUUCAGGAAAUGGGAAUAUGGGUACUGCAUAAACUAUCUUGCAACUGGACACCUGUCAUUUCCCUGGCAAUACCGUGAAGUACACAGUGCAGACCUUUGCAGUAUUCAGACCCUUUGCUGUGGCACUAUAAAUUGUGUUCAUACUCCUCCUUUCUGAUUUUGUUCUCCUUGUGAUGUGCCUAGAAUUUGUCUGGAGUCCACCUGUGGCAAGUUGAUUUUUUUUUUUUUGGACAAUGUUUUUAAAAAGACAUUCAUGUACAUGUGUGUGUAUAUAAGGUCCUUAAUUCUCUCUUCAUGUCUGGACAACAAACAAGGUAUGAUGGCCAAGGAACUCUCUGUUGACCUCCGUGGUCAUAUUAUGGUGAGGCAUAGAUAAUGGCAAUGGGAUGAAAGCAUUUCUAUAGCUUUGCUCCUCAGCUUUAGCACUACAUUGUAUUCAAAGUGGCCUCAAUAAUGAUGAAAUGGAAGAAGUUUAUCCACCUGGACUCUUCCAAGACGUGGCCAAUCCAACCAAACUGAGUAACCAGGCAAGAAGAGCCUUGGUCAGGGAGGUGACCAAGAAUGCAAUGGUCACUCAAACAGAGCUUCUGAAGUCCUCUACUGAGAUGGGAGAAACCUAUUGGAAGGAUGGAGACCAUCCACCUUAACUCUGACAGCAUGUGGAAAAAGACUCUGAUCUGAUGAUGCAAAACUUAACUCUUUUGGCAAGAUUCCAAGCUUGAUGUGUAUUAAAUUCUCUUAAUCCUAUAUCUAUCUUAUGUAAGUGUGCAUUAUUUUUUGUUGUAUACUAUUUUCAAUUUUUUGUAUCUAUUUAUUUGACAUCUUGUAAAGCACUUGGAGCUACAUCCUUUGUAUGAAAAUGUGCUGUAGAAAUGUUGUUCAGACCAAGUUUUUGAGGGUUAGUUUAAGUAUAUCUGAAAUAAUACUGUAGUAGCUGCGGAUCAAGAUUAGACGAAGUAGUGCGGUACGAAGAGAAGAUCUUCAGUCUCGGUGACUAGUGGAACAACAGUAGUAAGUUUUUAACUAAUAUGCAGCUAGUCUUGUUGUUUAUGGUCCUCUUUGGCUUGCUUAUGUCAAUCAAUGACUUGCUGUGUUGCAACUUGCACUUGAUUUAAAGGGACAGGGCAUAGAGAAAAUGUAUGUCCUUGUGUAAAAGUAAUAAAAAAUAUUUGCAAUUUGUAAGCUACAUUAGAUUAAAGUAAGUGCUGCUGUCAUCACUAUACACUAAAUGAUGCUCAUGUUGCGCAUCAGAUAAGGCCAUGAAAUCUAUGGAAAGUAUAUCGAGACUAAUGAAGAUGAACAGUAAACUUCAGUAGAAUCAUAAGUUAACUAUAAUUGUCUUUCUGUAACUCUGUAGGGUGUGCGCCUAGGUAGUUGCAGGAACAAAGUAAUACAGGUGUUGUACCAAAAGCAUCACCAGCCCACAUCCAUCCUCCCCAUUCACGUCAGCAAAGUCAAAAGGAUUUUUUUUGUUUUAUAUUCAGGUAAAUAUGUAAGGGCUAUUGAUUAAUUUUGUCAUACUACUUGUAAUAGUAUAGCCAACAGUGAUUAGAAGAUCUCAUUUAUUUAUAUUUUUCCUGUUACUGCAUUAAGUGUUAGGCAGUAUUAUUCGACUGCAGCUGUAACAGAUUUAUUAGGAUGUUGAUAUCACACCUGCCAAAAUAAUACAUCUUAACUUCAGACUGGUAGGUCAGUGUCAAUUCAGAUUUUAUCUGCUGUCAAUGACUGAUUUGUAGAUUAUGCCGUAGAAAUUUCACUCCUACCUAAAAAUAGCUGUGUUGCAGUUACCAUCAUGAAAUUUCUGCCAUCUUGACCUCUCGUAAUAGCACUGCCAUUUUUCUGCUUCCACAGUACUUUACACUCUUCCACAUGAUAAUACAUCAGUAGGUGUUUGUAUGUUAUAGCGCCACCCUUCAGUCUCUGAGGGAGACCACCU